rnacentral:rRNA from 1 species
CGUGGGGAACCUGCCUUGGAGAGGGGAACAACUCCCGAAAAGGGAAGUGCUAAUACCGCAUGAUGCAGUUGGGUCGCAUGGCUCUGACUGCCAAAGAUUUAUCGCUCUGAGAUGGCCUCGCGUCUGAUUAGCUAGUAGGCGGGGUAGCGGCCCACCUAGGCGACGAUCAGUAGCCGGACUGAGAGGUUGACCGGCCACAUUGGGACUGAGACACGGCCCAG